rnacentral:rRNA from 1 species
GAGUUUGAUCGUGGCUCAGAUUGAACGCUGGCGGCAGGCCUAACACAUGCAAGUCGAGCGGUAGAGAGAAGCUUGCUUCUCUUGAGAGCGGCGGACGGGUGAGUAAUGCCUAGGAAUCUGCCUGGUAGUGGGGGAUAACGCUCGGAAACGGACGCUAAUACCGCAUACGUCCUACGGGAGAAAGCAGGGGACCUUCGGGCCUUGCGCUAUCAGAUGAGCCUAGGUCGGAUUAGCUAGUUGGUGAGGUAAUGGCUCACCAAGGCGACGAUCCGUAACUGGUCUGAGAGGAUGAUCAGUCACACUGGAACUGAGACACGGUCCAGACUCCUACGGGAGGCAGCAGUGGGGAAUAUUGGACAAUGGGCGAAAGCCUGAUCCAGCCAUGCCGCGUGUGUGAAGAAGGUCUUCGGAUUGUAAAGCACUUUAAGUUGGGAGAAGGGCAGUAAUUAAUACUUUGCUGUUUGACGUUACCGACAGAAUAAGCACCGGCUAACUCUGUGCCAGCCG